ACGAGGUGCCCCUUUCGGGUUGGUCAGAUAUUGGUGUGGUAAUCACUAUCUUCCCAGCUCAAGGGGCACUUCGUCUAUCAAGACGCGCCGGAAUACCCGCCCCAGGACGGUGGAUCAG
rnacentral:sRNA from 1 species